GCUAGGCCUUUCUCACUGGCUCAAUUGGCUCGGUUGUGGGAACGCAGAAACGCUUCACUGCUAAAACUGGAGUUACGCGUGGAAAGGGGGAGAACACGUUGUAUACCAAACUCGGGCAGCAACCUGACGGAUGACAAUGAAUGCCAUUUCCCCAUCUGAAGUGGAGAGAAACCCCGCCCAGCCAUUCGUACAGGGAAGUGAAUGUCCGAACCGGGACAGCACCAGUGGUGGGAUGUGUCCCAUAGCAGAAAAGGCUGGACUGUGAGAACAUGCCUUCCUCCUGUAACUAAGAUCCACAAUGUCGUUCUGAGAUCACACCGCAAUGAGCACAGAAAUGGACAGAAAAACCCUGUCGACCACAUCAAAGUUCUCAUCUCUUCUAUCCCGUGUAACGUAGUGUCAAUAAGUUCCUUUAAAUUAAUGUAUUGCUGGUAUACUUAUUAAUUUAACGGAAUUUAUUAUAUGAAUUGUUUUUAAACUAGUAGUAUACUUGGAGUUAAAAAACAGAUUUUCGCUAUUACGUGCAGUUCUCGAGUUUCACACGAUUAUUUAUUUUUACUUCAGUUAACUACCAGCAACAUGUCAGAUAACGUAACAUGAACCACAGAUGUUAUAACUCCGUUCUUCCUCUCGUAAAACGUUCGGAAAGUUCGCAUUAGAAUAGCAAUUACGAAAAGUAGGCCUAUAAUUAUUUCGUGUUUCUGUGUCUACCGCUGUUCUAUUUCAUAUCAGCGAAUGUGAACGGAAUCACAAGUCAGCCAACGAAGUCCUCAAAACUUUCAUGGUUCAGAGAGAAACCAUCUGCUUAUUGUGCCGCUUACGGUCUUCCUUACUUACAAUUCUAAUUAAAGUGGUUGAAGUGAGUAGACCACAUGAAGGGCAGUAAUGACAAAUUACACUACAAAGACAACAGAUGUAGCCGGCUUUAUUUGACUGGAAGACGAUACCGAAAUACAUUUUGACAAAAGUUUGAGAUAAAUUAAUCCGUUGUCUUGAGAAUAUGGGUACAUUUUCAUUACACAGACUGAGAGUUAGGAUGUAAGUUCUCUGUCAUCAUUGUUUUUUUAUAUUUCCUUUGACAUCUAUUGAUUCGGAGGCAGCUGUAAGGCUUUCUCACAAGAGAGAGGAGCAGUCACAACGCAUUAGCGUGAUGGCAUAAUUCGAACGUUGGAGGCGCAGAACACGUCGAGAAAACACGUGAUAUGCACUUGCAGUUUUUUUUCUUUUUUUUCUCUUUUUUUUACAAUUUCCUUAAACGAAUUAAUUAGUGAUGUAGGCCUUAUAUGAAAUAAUACACAUUUUGCAUGUAAAACUAAGCAGCAUGCAUGGGCUACAUUUUAAAAUAUACCGUAAAAAAUGUGUUCAUUAUGUAGAACUGUUCUCGUUUGGUGUUAAACGCCAAAUAGCCUAAUUCGGUUUACAAAGUUUUGAGGGGCAUUAUUUUAUAACGAAAAAAAUUUAUUUAACUGAUGGCACAAUAUGUUUAAAUAAGUGUAAGCAAAUACAAUAGGUCAGGGGUGUUCUAAAGUGUCUGACUGAGUGAUUUAUUUGAUCAUUUCAAGAGCCAAAUUUAAUCGAGGAGUUCUCGAAUUCAUUCAGUGAUGCUAAGUCGUACAAUAAACUGCUAAACAGAAAAUGAAAUGCACCAAAUAUACGUAUUGUACAAAAGUGUAGUGUAUAUCAUUAUAUUUAACUUUUUAUUUGUGUAUAUAUCUUGAAUUUUGUUACAAGUUGUGUUAAUUACACAAAUGCUAUCAUUAUUUGAGACUUUUAAUUGUUCAGUUUACCGUAGACAAGCGUAUCCCCGUUUAAAUAUCAUAGAUCAUAUGUAGUAGGAUAAACAACGACCUGAGCCUAACGUUUCAGAUUUCCUGAAUAAAGUAUCAAUGGAAAUUGUUGUAUUCCACAUUCUAUGUAAUUACAUAUGAGCUGGGCCAUAUUUUCAACUGAACACUCAAAAAAGAGUGAGCACACCCAUUCGGUUGAAUAAUUAAUCAUUUUCGUGGUGAUUGUUCUUUCAGAACUUCUGCACCGCGAUAUUUCUAUGCUCUAUCCUGAACAAUUGAGAGAUAUACUUAGUAAUAAUAGCUUACUGGAAUCUUAUUUAUAUGCCAGUAUUACUGUUGUUGUAUGUUUUUUUUCCAGAAGGGGAUGUAGCCUACUUCAUGGCCAGUUCAUACGCUGUCAUUUUAAGAAAAUAAAAACUUACGAUUUUCUUCCUAAAUUGUUUCACCAUUUUUACCCUUAUGAGCACCUAAAACACUUCUUGCCGACAUUUUUAGGGCUACGUUUAUAUUUGUUCCACUGUGACUGCAAACACAAACCAGACCUGACUUCACGCGUCUCUGAGAUGAGACAUGUUUAAUAACUGGGCAGAGUACAGCGUUGCUGCCAUAAACUAUAAGCAGGGAGUUGCACAUUUUCUGAUACUGUCUUCUGUUUGUGCAAUAAAAAAUACAGUUAUUCACAGGACAGUCUCCGCGCUCGAACCAUGCAUUGGAAAGACAGUGUAAAGCUAUGCCAUCGCGCAUUACGCAA